rnacentral:lncRNA from 1 species
AAACAGAGAAGAAACAGGGGAGAAAGAAAGAAAGAAAAAGGAAAAGGAAAAUUUGGGUUUCAAGGCUCAAAGUUUAAUUUGGUAAGUCAAUUAAGUCAUUUCUUCUUAAAUUUUGAUGUUUUAGAAGCUUUGGAACAAGACUUUGAUGAAAUUAAGUUGAUAUUUUGAGAGUUUAUAGAUUUUCAAGUAUAGUUCAUGUUGAAUAAAAUAGUGAAUUAAGGGUUUAAUUGAGUAAAUUUCAAGCUAGAAUUGAUAAUAGGAUCAAAUUGUAAAGUAAGUUAUAAGUUUUAUGUUGUAGGGACUAAAUUGAUGAAAUUUUGAAAUUAGGAAAGUAUGCUGGAAAUUUAAUAUUUAAAUGAGAGUAUGGAUGAAAUUUGAAUAGAAAUAAAGUAUGAAUUAAGAUAGAAAAGUAAGUGAAUUUAGUUAGAAUUAAAUUGAAAUUAAAAUAAAUCAACAUUUUGUACUAAGACUAUUUUGGACAGCAGCAGUAGUCUAAGUUUGAAAAAAAUCACCAAAAAUUGUAGAAAUUGAAUUAGAGGAUGAAUAAAAUAUGAAAUUAAAUAUUAUUGAGUCUAGUUUCUUAUAGAAGAAACGAUAUAAGCUAUUGAAUUGUAAAUUAUGAGAUAUAAUGAAUUUUGUGAGACAAGGUUAGAAUGAAUUCGGGUUCCCCUGUUCUGACUUUGGAAAAUCACCAAAAAUUGAAUAAAAAUAAUUAGAGGCUUAAAGUUAUAUGUUUAGAAUCCCUAAUGAGUCUAUUUUCAUUAGAAAUCAACGAGAAUGUUAUCCGAGUUCUGUACUGUGAGAUAAUUAAUUUUUAGUGAAGAAGGAACGAAACUGUCAGAUAGCAGAAUAGGGGUGAAUUUAAAGAAUAAACUGUACUUAAUGGCUAAACCAAAAAUUCUGAAAAUUUUAUUGUAAGAAGAUUUGUGAGUCUAGUUUCAGAAAAAAUUAGCAGAUUUUAAUUUAGAAUUCUAUAAGUCAAGAUAUGAAUUAGUAAUGUAUUAAUGAUUAUAAAUUGUAUUAAUUUCAUAGUCAAUGUGGUACCAGAAAUCUCGGCUAAGAAAGGACAAGACAAAGUCAACGGGAGUUAGCUCGAAAAUUACGGUUUGUAUUUCUAUAAUCCGAACCUAAUACUUAAUUGUUGAAUUUAUUUCUUAAUAGGUAUAUUAAGUGUUUUGAAGUAAGAAUUAUUGUGUUUUGCAAAUGAAAUGGAUUGAUAUAGUAUGUGAUGAAUUUAUUGAAUUUAUAUUGACUGAAUUGGCGUAUAUAUAUAUAAAUAUAUAUAUUGAAUAUUGAAUAUAUAUUGAUUAUUUGAAUUGAAUUGAAAUAUAGAUUGUUUGAAAAUUUUAAAUAUGAGAUUUGUGAUAUUUGGAUAUUUGUUAUUGAAAAGUGAAUUGAAUUGUAUUGAAUUAUGAAUUUAUGUGAUUAAUUAAAAUGUGUAUUGAUUGAAAAAAAAUUGAAAGUGAAUUGAAUACCCUAUUAACAGUAUCGGGCUGAGUCGGAUAUAGUUGGCAUGCCAUAGGAUUGGAAGUGUUCAGGGAUUCUUCGACCUCGAGUCGAUGAGACACUGGGUGUCACUAUAUUUCUUCGGAUAGAUUCGAUGAGGUACUGGGUACCAACUUUACUUCGGCUAGGCCGAUGAGACACUAGGUGUCAAAUAUUGCUUCGAACUAUCCAAUGAGGCACUGGGUGCCAUAUUGGUGUGUUUGGUUGGAUCCGUGUAUCCGCCAAGGUCCGAGUCUUGUUAAUAGGGGUAAAUAAGUGAAAAGAUAAGUCGAGUGAAUUUGAUUGAUUGAGCUAUUGGAAUGAAAUGAGAAAUUGAAAUUGAGAUAUGAGAUUGAAAACAUGAACCAAAAGGUUCAUGAAAUGAGUGAAGUUCAAAUGGAUGAUGAUUGAUGUUAGAAUGAAUUAAAAUGGUAUAUUGUUAAGAAAUAAAGUGUGAAAACAAGUGAAUUGUGAAUAUAUUGUAUAGAAUUUAUACGGUAAGUAAAUGAAAAGAAUUGAACAAAUAUGUUAUUGUGUUUGUUAUAUGACUUGUAUAGAAUUUAUAUGGUAAGUAAUUGAAAAUUUAUCUAUAAAACAAAUAAAUGAAUACUUAUAAUUGUUAUUGUGAUUUUAAGUUUAAUUGUUAUAUUAUUAAGUGUUCGGAUUAUGGAAAUACCACUGAGUAUACCAUACUCAGCGUACGGUUUAUUUCCGUGCGCAGGUUUAGUAAAGAUAGAACGUUGAAUCAGCAUCCCAGUUUGAUCCCGAAUUCAUUAAGGUAAAGUGUGUUAAUUAUUGGUAAUGGCAUGUACCUAGGAUGUUUUAUGAGAGUCAUUUAGGUUGUAGAUGUACUCAUGAAAUGAGUAAAUUAUGGUUGGCAACGGUAUGUAGUAUGAAUUUUGAAAUUUACUAAAAAUUCGUAGUGAUUCUAAAUUAGUCCCGAAUUGAAUUUACUGUUCAUAUUGGACCGCGAGGGCCCAUUAAAGGGACGACAUCUUAAAACUAGGAUGUGUGUAAAUAUUUAUUUUAAUUAAUGACCGAAAUUGGACUGUACUGACUGGUAAUGUCUCGUAACCCUGUUUCGAUGACGGUAUAGGGUUAGGGGGCGUUACAGGCCGUGUGGUCCCACACGCCCGUAUGGCUUAGGACACGCCCGUGUCCUCAGCCCGUGUAAUUCUCUAUUUAUGACGUUAGCAAAAUAAUUUAUACCACACUACCAGGCCACACGCCCGUGUACUAGGCCGUGUCCUCCACACAGUUGAGACACAUGGUCGUGUCUCUGCCCGUAUAGCUAACACUUAGGAUAUUUUCCAAGCCUUAUGUUGACCUUAUUUUUUCCCCCAUACUUUUACACAUCAUAGAUACAAAUUAUAACAUCAAUUUAAUGUUUAAUCAGCCUUUGGUGAAAUUCAAUUAAAUAAUUUGCAUGUUGUCAUACAUGUGUUAAUUACCCAACACUUAAUCUCUACACAUUCAACAAUUGUCCAUGUUCAAUCAUUAUCAUCUUACUACCAUGCCAUACAUUCACUCCAUGGCCACAACCAUCUCGAAUGGUCCUGCGGCAUUCAUCAUGUACAUGUGCCAUAUACUUCUCAUGCAUAGUGAACAAGCAUAAUCGCAUAACCACAUCACAAGACAUUAACACACAUACCAUGGACAAAUAGGCUUACAAGCCAAAAUCAUUAUAAGCCACAUCUCAUGGCUAUAUACAAUGAAUUAAUAUAAGCCAGCAUCUUGGCCAAAACAUAAGAACACAUAUCAAUAAUUAAGUCCCUAUACAUACCACUCACUUGAAGAAAUUAAGUUUCAACAAUACUUCAAGAUGAUAGCGUGAUAGUGUGAGGUUGCCUCCGACGAUCUCCAACCCCGAGUCGACCUGAGGACACUCAGUUUCGAGUACGACUAUUUAUUUCGAGUUUGUACUUAACCUUAUUCAACCUCGUUCUAAGCCCAAAUCUUGUUUUCCUUGAUUAUUGAGCUUGGGAGCUUGGCCAAACCCUAACCAUGGCUGCUCUUGGUACAUUCGGCUGAAGCAAGAAGAAAGGGACACAUUUGGGUUUUAAAAUUUGUCUUUUAAUUCAUUGUACCCUUAAAUGACCAAAAUGCCUUUUUUACUAUUCUUUCAAAUUUUACCCAACCAGGGUCAUUUUUGUCCAAAAAGUUAUAAAAUGGUCUAAUUACCAUUUAAGGACCUCCCAUUUAAAAUUUCAUAACAAUUAGACACCUCUAACAUGUGGAACUCAACUUUUUCACUUUUUACAAUUUAGUCCUUUUGACCAAAUUGAGUGGCCAAACGUCAAAAUUUUCGAACGAAAUUUUCACAAAAUCAUUCUGUGAAAUCGUAGACCAUAAAAAUAUAAUAAAAAUAAAUUUUCUUAUGUCGGAUUUAUGGUCCCGAAACCACUGUUCCGACUAGGCCCUAAUUCGAGAUGUUACAGGAAGUGAUUCGAAUAAACAAGGGCUAAGUCUGAAUUCUUUUUCUAAAAAUUCGAAUUUGAAAUAUAAAUUUUUGAGAGAACUAAAAUGUAAUUUUAUUAUUAUCUUGACAUAAAAUUUUAAAAUUUCUCAAGAGUUAAACUAUAAAUUUUUCAAUUUUUUGGUGUCAAAAUUGAAUUUUGUAUUUUAAGGGAGAUAACUUCGAAUUUAACCAUUGGAUUAUUUUAAAAUUUUUCUAUUUCUAAAAAGACUAAAAGAAUAAAAUUUUAUUUGAGGAGGGCCAAGGUCUCACUUAGAGAUGUUGGUGCGCCUGACCAGGCUAAGUCCAAGCCCAUCCAAAUAGCUCAUUUUAUUAUUCAAAAAAUAAAAAAUAAAUAUUUAAAUUUAAUUAAAACAUAUAAUAAUAUAAAAUUAUUUUUAAACAAUAAAACGAGUCAAACUCAAGUUUAAAAGUUGUGUACACUUGUACAUUAUAUAUAAUAAUUGUGAUUUGUCUCACUAACAAGAUAUUUGUAUACACUGCCAUUAAUUUCCUUAAAAUCAGAAUGAUCAUAUAUUCCGAAAUUUUGCCUCACACGUUGCGGAUAUAAUAUAUAUAUAUAUAUGAAUGAUUAUGCAAUCAAAUCGUGUAAAAGAUAAAUAAGUAUAUAUAUAAAUAUGCAAUUGGGUUUGUGCAAAUCUUGUUCAGGGUAUGGGGACAUGUUAUUAGAAAUUGAUGACCAUCGCACUUCUAAUUAUGUAUAUUAUCCUUAUUGAUACUGUCUGUUUUUUGCUUACCAUUUCUUCAUCUUAUAAACACUUCAAAAUAUAAUAUAUUUAUGCAAAUGGAAUGAUAUGAGGUGACUAAGUGCCACAUGCCAUCAUCUUUCUCAUAUCCAUUUCCUCAUAUUUCACUUAUUUUCUUGCUUCAUUUAGCAGAUUUGUUGGAUGCAUGGCAGACAAUUACGACCUAAACAGUAGCCAAGUGUCCAAGAUAUAUUUAUAUAUAUAUAUAUAUAAAGUUUUCAAUAUGACAUCCGUCGAGAGCCAAUGAACCUUGAUAGGUUGGUAUUGUUUUUUAUUUUUGACUCUGUGGAGAGACUGAAUGUUUAGGUUUGUAUAAAGAAAUGAUGGGUUCAAUAAAGAGGAAGCACCUCACCGGAUCAAACCAUACAUGGUGCAUGACUACCUAUCAAGGAAAUGUGAGC